CGGCUUUUGUGGGCAAGAAACUUCGAGAAUCGGACCACCCAGUAGCUAGAUGUGGACUUUCGAGGCCUCGGACCCCGUUCCAAGUCCGACCGUCCCUUUCUAGGCCAUUGUGCCUUUCUUCGGCGUUUUUGGACGGAACCAAGAAACCGAGUCUGGGAGUCACCAUUGGGCUUUUGUGCGCAAGAAACUUCAAGAUCGGACCACCCAUUAGCUAGAUGUGGACUUUCGAGGCUCGGACCCCGUUCCAAGUCCGGUCCCUUUCUAGGCCAUUGUGCCUUUCUUCGGCGUUUUGGACGGAACCAAGAAACCGAGUCUGGGCGUCACCGUUCGGCUUUUGUGCAAGAAACUUCAGAUCGGACCACCCAGUAGCUAGAUGUGGACUUUCGUGCCUCGGACCCCGUUCCAAGUCCGAUCGUCCCUUUCUAGGCCAUUGCGCCUUUCUUCGGCGUUUUGGGACGGAACCAAGAAACCGAGUCUGGGGCGUCACCGUUCGGCUUUUGUGGGCAAGAAACUUCGAGAAUCGGACCACCCAGUAGCUAGAUGUGGACUUUCGAGGCCUCGGACCCCGUUCCAAGUCCGACCGUCCCUUUCUAGGCCAUUGCGCCUUUCUUCGGCGUUUUGGGACGGAACCAAGAAACCGAGUCUGGGGCGUCACCGUUCGGCUUUUGUGGGCAAGAAACUUCGAGAAUCGGACCACCCAGUAGCUAGAUGUGGACUUUCGAGGCCUCGGACCCCGUUCCAAGUCCGUCGUCCCUUUCUAGGCCAUUGUGCCUUUCUUCGGCGUUUUGGGACGGAACCAAGAAACCGAGUCUGGGGCGUCACCUUCGGCUUUUGUGGGCAAGAAACUUCAAGAAUCGGACCACCCAGUACUAGAUGUGGACUUUCGAGGCCUCGACCCCGUUCCAAGUCCGACCGUCCCUUUCUAGGCCAUUGUGCCUUUUUCGGCGUUUUGGGACGGAACCAAGAAACCGAGUCGGGCGUCACCGUUCGGCUUUUGUGGGCAAGAAAUUCGAGAUCGGACCACCCAGUAGCUAGAUGUGGACUUUCGAGGCCUGGACCCCGUUCCAAGUCCGACCGUCCCUUUCUAGGCCAUUGUCCUUUCUUCGGCGUUUUGGACGGAAACCAAGAAACCGAGUUGGGGCGUCACCGUUCGGCUUUGUGGGCAAGAAACUUCGAGAUCGGACCACCCAGUAGCUAGAUGUGGACUUUCGAGGCCUCGGACCCCGUUCCUGUUGGAAUUUUUUGUCCUAAAACUCGUAGUUUGUAAAUCAUAUUCUGUUCAAUAAAGUUGUUAUUGAGAAAUUAAAUAUUAUAAUCUUAAAUCCAAUAAAUCAAGUUCCAAGGCUAUUUUUUGAAUAAACUUGAACUUUAUGUGUAAACAUAAACGUGGAUCAAGUUCGAGUAUAUAGCCUAAAUAGUCUAUAGUAUAUGAAAUAAAGGUUGGGCGCCUUAUUUAGAGAAACUAUGGAUGCGGCCCACUUUGUAGUACAAACGAGUGAUCCUAAUCGUUCAUGUAGAGACAUGAAAGUGGGGGCAUCCUAUGUAAAAUGUUUACAUAAGACUGAACCAUGAAUUAGUCAUUUUUACGUUAUAACACCGUUUACUGUUUAAAACUGACUAUCUCAAUUAUUGAUGACCUAGGUAACUUAGUCUUAAUCCUGAGUUAACUAUGAACUCCUGUUCACACGAGAUUAUCCUUAGAUCUGCAUAGGUGAGGGCAGCUCAUCAGCGUUGGCCCAAUAAGCCUCCCAUUUCAGGGGUAAGAUCGGUGGAUAGCUGGGAACAUAGGGUACAAGAUGGAAUUCACUCCUACCCGCUUUAGGGUUAGUAGAUAGGUUGCUCUCUUAAGCACUGAAUCCAAGUCUUGAACAAGGGGCCCCACCCUCUCAUUGGCCCGAGAGGGAUUAAGUUUAUAGGUUGAACCUUAAACCAAUUGUUCAAUAGUGGAUUAGUGGGACUUAAGGAGCAAGAUGUAAUCUUGGGGGUAAAACGGUAUUUUGACCCAGCCAAGGUUACGAGCAACCUGUGAAGGAUUAACUUACUGAUUAUGGUUUUAUCAAAUGGACACAAAUAUAUCUAUAGUGAGGGGAGUGCAACUACGGGACUUUAGUGGAAUGACCCGUUAGUUAACGAAUGUUGAUUAACUCGGUUUAAAAGAGUUUAGCUAGUUAAUCUUGAAUCGUUGGAGCCCAUGAUCUAUAGGUCCAUUAGGUUCCUCUGCUAGCUCAUAUGGAUUAAACUUAGAACAGUGUGAUGAAAUAAGUCGAAUUGUUCGAAUUGGGAGAAGAAAGGGAAACCGACAAAUAUAGUGAUAUAGUCGUCGGUCUUCUAAUUAGAAAUAGAGCUUUAUGUUUUACAUACUAUAAGUAUGAAUGCGGAUUCAUACUAAGAAGCUCGGAAUUGGUCAAAAAUAGUAAAAAGUCAAAAUGUUGACUUUUGACUUUGAAAAGUCAAACUUUGACCGGCCUUAUAUUCAAAUGUGAUUUGAAUUUUGGAAAAAUGAAUGCGGAUUCAUGCUCGGGAGGUUGGAAUUAGUCAAGACGGACAAAAUGGUAAAAAGUCAAAAUAUUGACUUUUGACUAAGAAAAGUCAAAGUUUGACUUUUGACUAGAAAUAUCUAAUGACCAUUUUACCCUUGGACUAAGUUAGUGGGAAAAUCCAACAUUUUGUUGGAUAAUCCCACUAACUCUUAGUGGGAUAUGUGGCUAUAUGAGAUAUAGACACCUAGCCCACUAAGUUCCACUAAUUGUUAGUGGAACAUUAGGUGUUGAGAUUUGGCAAAUGAAUUGCAUGCAUUUUUGCAUGUAAUUAGGCUAUAAAUAGAGGUGUUUUCAAAUGUUGAAGGACUUUUGCCUCUUUUAUCAUUUUCAUCAUCUCAACAAAAGAAAAAAGAAAGCUUCCAAUCUCAUUUUAUCUCCAUUACUUUCUACACCAAAAUUGGGUCCCACAACCCGGUUCUUUGUCUAGAGGAUAGCAGUUGAGUACUAGUGGUGGUCUCGGUAGAAUUGGUAAGAAGACAUCAAACCUUUUGAAAGCUUCAAAGGUAAUACUUCUUAAAACCCUAAUUUGAUUAGUUUAUGGUUACAUGUUAAUUGUGGCAAUUAGGGUAGAAAUUCGAUUCUUUUUCCGCUGUGCAUGACUUAGUUCUAUCAUGUGGUAUCAGAGCAUGCUUCAUUUUUACCCAAUUGCAUGUGGUGGGUUCAUAUUUAUUAGAUAAAUUUUGGUUUGAACUAAAAUGGAUAUAUUAUGAUUUUGGCUCUAGAUUAAGUGUUUUUGUUCUAAUUAUUGUAAUUAGCCUUGUUAAUGGCUUAUUUUUAUUGUUGCAAAGUGUUUGUAAUUUUUUAAAAAAAUAAAAAAAGUCAUUAGAGUUGAAGUUAGGCUGUAAUUGGUUCAACCGGGUGAGAGAAUUGAAAAAAAUGAAGAAAAGAAGGUCACAGACCCGAAAACCCGCUUGAGACCCGCUUCGCGACCCGCACGCGCCGCGCGCCCGCAUGCCGCGCGCCCUCCUGCGCCGCGCGCCCGCUGCCGCCCGUGCGCCCCCUGUGCCCGCGCGCCUGCCUUCGCCGACCGUGUGGGCCGGUUCAAGCGGUUUCGGUUGGUUUUUCAGCCGGUUCGAAGUUUUUGGGAGUGGUUCUGUACUACACCAAAGUAAUUAUGUAAUAAUUUAGUACUUAGCUUAAUUUAGGAGCCAAAAAUCAGUCCAUUUUAGGGUGUUUUUUUUAUUUAUGCAUGUGAUGUAUGAUUAAAUUACUUUAAAUUUGUAUGUGCAUUUUGAAUGUCAUAUAGAUUUAAAAUCCCACCAUAGGUUAACAUGUUCAUGCAUUAAAAUGUAUGAUAUAAAGGUUAUAUUGUAUUGUAUGCAUGUUAAUUGAUUAAUAUGGAAAUUAAUUAAUAUUGAUUAAUUAAUUAAGUUAUUCUUGAUUAAAUAUGAUUUAAUCAAAUUAAUUAAUUAUUGUUUGAUUUAAUUUAAUUAAAGUUAAAUAAAUUAAAAUCCAUAUUAAUUGAUUUUUUAUAAGUUAUAUAUUGAUAAAAUGAUUGAUUAAGUUUAAAAGUUUUUAUAAGUGUUAUAAAAUAAAUUAGACUUUUAAAAUCAAUAACAAAGAUUAAAUGCAUGCUCACUUAGGUUAAACAUAUCUUCCAUUUUUCAUAGAAAUAGGUCGAUAUCUUGUAAAACUGGUUACAAAAGGCUCACCUGGUUCAAUCUUGUCAACAAGUCAGAUAAGAUGACUAAGGUUGGAGGUUCUUAAGUUGACGGUUUACGGAACACCUCCUACCUGGAGAUCGUAAUCAGUUCUUGAGCCUAGUUAACCUAGUUUUAUGAGCAUUCGUGAGAGGUGUGAGGUAAUAAAAAUUUUAUCACCUAGACAUCAUAGGUUAAAAUCCUGUAUAAUGGUUAUACUUGGAUGUUUUAUCUAGACUUAAGAUUUGUUUAAGUUAGCCUAAAUAUAAAUCUUGAAGCUUGGAUUACCCUUUUUUUUCUUUAGAACACUUCAACUAGAGAAAAAUAAUGUAUUUUAGCUCUAGUGUCCCUAAGAGUUCACACCGUGAGGUCCAUGCAGGGCUUUGUGCCGUGCAUAGGAGCGGCCUCCCUUCGGAGAGUGUUUGCAUGGAUCAAAAUCAAGGUGAAUAGGGGAAGUAGUUCAUAGUAAGUGGGUGAGGAUUUGUGGCAGCACAUCCCACGGUCUCUUCCAUUAGGUCGCACCGUGAGAUUUCUAUAAUAUGCCUGCUUGUCUGCCCUGGAGCGACGUUCCCUUCGGAGGGUUGUAUUAUAGGAUUCGGAACACCGCGAACUCCAAAUCUGGAUAGGUUUUCUUAGAUUAGUUUUCAUAAAUGAUUCUAAUCUAUGAAAUCUGAAAAUGGUGGGUAACACUUACAAGAAUUACUAAGUUGUUAGUAUAUUCUUGACUAAAGUAGCGAUAACUAAGUGCUAUAAAGAAUAAGAGUUAUUCUAGAGAUAGCAUCUAGUCAAGAUUGUCUUGGUUCAAAGGAGGAAUAAUCAACUACCCUUCGGAGAAGGUUGUUCUAAACCUUUGAAAUAUUGUUGCAAAAUACAAAUAAUGAAAGGGUACAUUAUUAGUAAUUGCUAAAUUAGAUUGGAUAUUUUUUAUGAUUAUAGUUUUUUCCUAAAAAAUAUGUUUGUUUUUCAGCAUGAAUAGCUCAAUAGUUCAACUUUUAGCUUCCGAAAAACUUAAUGGCGAUAAUUAUGCGGCUUGGAAAUCAAAUCUUAACACAAUACUAGUGUGUUGACGAUUUAAGAUUUGUCUUAACUGAGGAAUGUCCUCAAAACCCUGCCUCUAAUGCUAACCGAACUAGUCGGGAUGCAUAUGAUCGAUGGAUAAAAGCUAAUGAAAAAGCUCCUGUCUACAUUCUUGCCAGCAUGUCUGAUGUGGGACGUCACCGUUCGGCUUUUGUGGGCAAGAAACUUCGAGGUCGGACCACCCCGUAGCUAGAUGUGGACUUUCGAGGCCUCGGACCCCGUUCCAAGUCCGGUCGUCCCUUUCUAGGCCAUUGUGCCUUUCUUCGGCGUUUUGGGACGGAUCCAAGAAACCGAGUCUGGGCGUCACCGUUCGGCUUUUGUUGGCAAGAAACUUCGAGAUCGGACAACCCAGUAGCUAGAUGUCGACUUUCGAGGCCUCGGACCCCGUUCCAAGUCGGUCGUCCCUUUCUAGGCCAUUGUGCCUUUCUUCGGCGUUUUGGGACGGAACCAAGAAACCGAGUCUGGGCGUCACCGUUCGGCUUUUGUUGCAAGAAACUUCGAGAUCGGACCACCCAGUAGCUAGAUGUGGACUUUCGAGGCCUCGGACCCCGUUCCAAGUCCGGUCGUCCCUUUCUAGGCCAUUGUGCCUUUCUUCGGCGUUUUGGGACGGAACCAAGAAACCGAGUCUGGGGCGUCACCGUUCGGCUUUUGUGGGCAAGAAACUUCGAGAUCGCACCACCCAGUAGCUAGAUGUGACUUUCGAGGCCUCUGACCGCGUUCCAAGUCCGGUCGUCCCUUUCUAGGCCAUUGUGCCUUUCUUCGGCAUUUUGGGACGGAAACAAGAAACCGAGUCUGGGGCGUCACCGUUCGGCUUUUGUGGGCAAGAAACUUCAAGAUCGGACCACCCAGUAGCUAGAUGUGGACUUUCGAGGCCUCGGACCCCGUUCCAAGUCCGGUCGUCCCUUUCUAGGCCAUUGUGCCUUUCUUCGUGCGUUUUGCGCGGAACCAAGAAACCGAGUCUGGGGCGUCACCGUUCGGCUUUUGUGGGCAAGAAACUUUGAGAUCGGACCACCCAGUAGCUAGUUGUGGACUUUCGAGGCCUCGGACCCCGUUCCAAGUCUAGUCGUCCAUUUCUAGACCAUUGUGCCUUUCUUCGGCGUUUUGGCACGGAACCAAGAAAUUGAGUCUGGGGCGUCACCGUUCGGCUUUUAUGGGCAAGAAACUUCGAUAUCGGACCACCCAGUAGCUAGAUGUGGACUUUCGAGGGCUCGGACCCCGUUCCAAGUCUAGUCGUCCAUUUCUAGGCCAUUGUGCCUUUCUUCGGCGUUUUGGGACGGAACCAAGAAACCGAGUCUGGGGCGUCACCGUUCGGCUUUUGUUGGCAAGAAACUUCAAGAUCGGACACCCCAGUAGGUAGAUGUGGACUUUCGAGGCCUCGGACCCCGUUCCAAGUCCGGUCGUCCCUUUCUAGGCCAUUGUGCCUUUCUUCGGCGUUCUGGGACGGAACAAAGAAACCGAGUCUGGGGCGUCACCGUUCGGCUUUUCUGGGCAAGAAACUUCAAGAUCGGACCAGCCAGUAUCUAGAUGUGGACUUUCGAGGCCUCGGACUCCGUUCCAAGUCCGGUCGUGUCCCUUUCUUUAGUGUUUUAGGACGGAACCAAGAAACCGAGUCUAGGGCGUCACCGUUCGGCUUUUGUGGGCAAGAAACUUCGAGAUCACUCAGAAUCGGACCACGCAGUAGCUAGAUGUGGACUUUCGAGGGCUCGGACCCCGUUCCAAGUCUAGUCGUCCAUUUCUAGGCCAUUGUGCCUUUCUUCGGCGUUUUGGGACAGAACCAAGAAACCGAGUCUGAGGCGUUACUGUUCGGCUUUUGUGGGCAUGAAACUUCGAGAUCGGACCACCCAGUAGCCAGAUGUGGACUUUUGAGGCCUCGGACCCCGUUCCAAGUCCGGUCGUCCCUUUCUAAGCCAUUGUGCCUUUCUUCGGCGUUUUGGGACGGAAGCAAGAAACCGAGUCAGGGGCGUCACCGUUCGGCUUUUGUGGGCAAGAAACUUCAAGAUCGGACCACCCAGUAGCUAGAUGUGGACUUUCGAGGCCUCAGACCCCGUUCCAAGUCCAGUCGUACCUUUCUAGGCCAUUGUCCCUUUCUUCGCCGUUUUGGGACGGAACCAAGAAACCGAGUCUAGAGCAUCACCGUUUGGCUUUAGUGGGCAAGAAACUUCGAGAUCGGACCACCCAGUAGCUAGAUGUGGACUUUCGAGGCCUCGGACCCCGUUCCAAGUCCGGUCGUACCUUUCUAAGCCAUUGUGCCUUUCUUCGGCGUUUUGGGACGGAACCAAGAAACCGAGUCUAGGGCGUCACCGUUCGACUUUUGUGGGCAAGAAACUUCGAGAUCGGACCACCCAGUAGCUAGAUGUGGACUUUCGAGGCCUCGGACACCGUUCCAAGUCCGGUCGUCCCUUUCUUGGCCAUUGUGCCUUUUUUCGGCGUUUUGGGACGGAACCUCUGGCGUCACCGUUCCGCUUUUGUGGGCAUGAAACUUUGAGAUCAUUCAAAAUCGGACUACCCAGUAGCUAGAUGUGGACUUUAUAGGCAUCGGACCGCGUUCCAAGUCCGGUCGUCCCUUUCUUGGCCAUUGUGCCUUUCUUCGGCGUUUUGGGACGGAACCAAUAAACCGAGUCUGGGGCGUCACCGUUCGGCUUUUGUGGGCAAGAAACUUCGAGAUCGGACCACGGAGUAGCUAGAUGUGUACUUUCAAGCCUUGGACCCAGUUCCAAGUCCGGUCGUCCCUUUCUAGGCCAUUGUGCCUUUCUUCGGCGUUUUGGGACGGAACAAAGAAAUCUGAGUCUGGGGCGUCACCGUUCGGCUUUUGUGGGCAAGAAACUUCGAGAUCGGACCACCCAGUAGUUAGAUGUGGACUUUCGAGGCCUCGGACCCCGUUCCAAGUCUAGUCGUCCAUUUCUAGGCCAUUGUGCCUUUCUUCGGCGUUUUGGGACGGAACCAAGAAACCGAGUCUGAGGCGUCACUGUUCGGUUUUUGUGGGCAAGAAACUUCAAGAUCGGACCACCCAGUAGCUAGAUGUGGACUUUCGAGGCCUCGGACCCCGUUCCAAGUCCGGUCGUACCUUUCUAGGCCAUUGUCCCUUUCUUCAGUGUUUUGGGACGGAACCAAGAAACCGAGUCUAGCGCGUCACCGUUCGACUUUUGUGGGCAAGAAACUUCGAGAUCGGACCAGCCAGUAUCUAGAUGUGGACUUUCGAGGCCUCGGACCCCGUUCCAAGUCUGGUCGUCCCUUUCUAGGCCAUUGUGCCUUUCUUCGGCGUUUUGGGACGGAACCAAGAAACCGAGUCUGGGGCGUCACCGUUCGGCUUUUGUUGGCAAGAAACUUCAAGAUCGGACACCCCAGUAGGUAGAUGUGGACUUUCGAGGCCUCGGACCCCGUUCCAAGUCCGGUCGUCCCUUUCUAGGCCAUUGUGCCUUUCUUCGGCGUUCUGGGACGGAACAAAGAAACCGAGUCUGGGGCGUCACCGUUCGGCUUUUCUGGGCAAGAAACUUCAAGAUCGGACCACCCAGUAGCUAGAUGUGGACUUUCGAGGCCUCGGACUCCGUUCCAAGUCCGAUCGUGUCCCUUUCUUUAGUGUUUUAGGACGGAACCAAGAAACCGAGUCUAGGGCGUCACCGUUCGGCUUUUGUGGGCAAGAAACUUCGAGAUCACUCAGAAUCGGACCACGCAGUAGCUAGAUGUGGACUUUCGAGGCCUCGGACACCGUUCCAAGUUCGGUCGUCCCUUUCUAGGCCAUUGUGCCUUUCUUCGGCGUUUUGGGACGGAAUCAAGAAACCGAGUCUGGGGCGUGACCGUUCGGCUUUUGUGGGCAAGAAACUUCGAGAUCGGACCACCCAGUAGGUAGAUGUGGACUUUCGAGGUCUCGGACCCCGUUCCAAGUCUGGUCGUCCCUUUCUAGGCUAUUGUGCCUUUCUUCGAAUUUUUGGCACAGAUCCAAGAAACCGAGUCUGGGGCGUCACCGUUCGGCUUUUGUGGGCAAGAAACUUCGAGAUCGGACCACCCAGUAGCUAGAUGUGACUUUCGAGGCCUCGGACCCCGUUCCAAGUCCGGUCGUCCCUUUCUAGGCCAUUGUGCCUUUUUUUGGCAUUUUGGGACGGAACCAAGAAACCGAGUCUGGGGCAUCACCGUUCGGCUUUUGUGGGCAAGAAACUUUGAGAUCGGACCACCCAGUAGCUAGAUGUGGACUUUCGAGGCCUCGGACCCCGUUCCAAGUCCGGUCGUCCCUUUCUAGGCCAUUGUGCCUUCGGCGUUUUGGGACGGAACCAAGAAACCGAGUCUGGGGCGUCACCAUUCGGCUUUUGUGGGCAAGAAACUUCGAGAUCGGACCACGCAGUAGCUAGAUGUGGACUUUCGAGGCCUCGG
rnacentral:lncRNA from 1 species